rnacentral:tRNA from 1 species
GGCUAUGUAGCUCAGUUGGUAGAGCAGGGCGCGCCCCGCCUAUUGUCGCUGGUUCAAGUCCAGUCAUAGCAAGCCCGA